AAGAUACUCCCUUCGUUCGGAAUUAUUUGUCGCAGAAAUGGAUGUAUCUAGAUGUAUUUUAAUUUUAGAUACAUUCAUAUUCGAGACAAGUAAUUCCGAACGGAGGGAGUACCUA
rfam:Triticum aestivum genome assembly, contig: Triticum_aestivum_CS42_TGACv1_scaffold_018996_1AS